GACGAACGCUGGCGGCGUGCUUAACACAUGCAAGUCGAACGGAAAGGCCCUGCUUUUGUGGGGUGCUCGAGUGGCGAACGGGUGAGUAACACGUGAGUAACCUGCCCUUGACUUUGGGAUAACUUCAGGAAACUGGGGCUAAUACCGGAUAGGAGCUCCUGCUGCAUGGUGGGGGUUGGAAAGUUUCGGCGGUUGGGGAUGGGCUCGCGGCUUAUCAGCUUGUUGGUGGGGUAGUGGCUUACCAAGGCUUUGACGGGUAGCCGGCCUGAGAGGGUGACCGGCCACAGUGGGACUGAGAUACGGCCCAGACUCCUACGGGAGGCAGCAGUGGGGAAUAUUGCACAAUGGGCGGAAGCCUGAUGCAGCAACGCCGCGUGCGGGAUGACGGCCUUCGGGUUGUAAACCGCUUUCGCCUGUGACGAAGCGUGAGUGACGGUAAUGGGUAAAGAAGCACCGGCUAACUACGUG
rnacentral:rRNA from 1 species